CCGAGGAAUUGCCGAAGGAGACCCUUUUCUUCUUCUUCCUCGCUCAGAGGCCUCGACGGAUGCACCGGCGGGAAACGAAUCUCCUCCGACAGUCCGACGACUGAACUCACUUCAUAGGCAGCACCGUGGGGUAGAGGGCACGAAGGUUGGCAUCGGAGGCGGUGGUGAGGAUCCAAUUCAUGCAGCUUUUGAAAGAAAUGCCUGGCCUGACCGCCGUCAGUUGGGUGGCAUUUUAGCUGACUUGAACCUAUGAUUGCUACGUGUCAGUUGGGCGGCGAAGAAGAAGAAGAAGCAGAGGCGGAGGACGGUGGUCGCCGGCCCCCACCACAGCACUAGAUUCGGCGAACCUCGUGGCGAGAGUGGAGGUGGAGGGCUGGGCUGGGUAGCUCGUGGUCGUUGUUGCCUGUCUCCUCUGUCGUCGUCGUCGUCGUCGGGCUCAGGAGAGGGGAGGGAGGCCAUUCUGGUCUUUUCAUGCCUCGAGAGGGAAAAAGAAAAUGAAAAGUAAUGGCAUGCCGAACUGUCACCUGGGGCUGCCGUCGCCGCCCGCGCGGAGGCUCCAGACCGCCACCAACAUCGAAGACGAGGGCCCCAAGCCAACGUCGCUCGGAUCCGAUCCUCCGCGACCAAGCAUACGCAAUGGCUCAAAACCUGGAUCCCAGCAGCGAGGGGCGAGUAGUUUUACAAUUCAAGACCGGUUUAGCAUCUGUGAUCAAGCAAAAACUUGCUAAGAAGGAUGGGGCUUCAAUUGACUGACAAAAUGGCAUUCAAGUCCUGUGGAAUUUCUAUCUGGAAUACAACAGUCGGCGGAUUGAUGACCUGCAAUUAGAGCAGGAGAGACUGAGGGAGUCAGGGGCUUUUAGUACAUAGAUGGGAACCAGAGCUGUGGAAAUGAGAAAGGUUUAUGCUACCUUGAGGUUUGCUUGAUGUUCUGGAAAUUCUUGUUGGCCAAUCACCUACUGAUAGACUUGGUAGGCAAAUUCUAGAGAUAAAAAAACAAAAGAUCUGAUGCAACCCUGCCAGGUGAACUUAUGCCGUACAAUAUUGUACCCCUUGAUGCACCAUCAUUGGUGGCAAAUAUCAUUGGGUUUUCCCCAGGUCAGGGCUGCAACAGCGGCAAUUCAAAACUGUGUGGAUCUGCCACGGUUCCCUUAUGAUGCACCACAGCUAAGACAAAAGGUCAUUUUUGACCUUUUGCAAUAUGUAUUUGGAUUCUAGGAUGAUAAUAUUCGGAACCAGCGUGAAAAUGUCAUACUUUCCCUAGCCAGUGCUCAGUCCCAGCUCAGCCUGCCUGUUGGGACAGAACCAAAAAUCGACGAGAGGGCUGUCACAGAAGUUUUUUUGCAAAGUUCUGGACAACUACAUAAAAUGGUGUAGUUACUUGGGCAAGCGUGUUGUGUGGACCAGUAAAUAAGAACAGAAAAAACAGCUUGGUUGAGCUCUACUUUCUGAUUUGGGGUGAAGCUGCGAAUGUUCGUUUCCUCCCAGAAUGCCUGUGCUACAUUUUCCACAAUGUGAGUCCCUUCCCGUCCAAUCAAGUGCUGGCCUUUUUCUUUUGGUGUAGUUUCAGAGACUGAUAUGGUUGGGCCUUUUUCCAAGUGCUGCGAAUGUUGGGUUUCAUCUCUAGUCUACCCUAACUUGUUUGGGACUGAAAGGCUUUGUUGUUGUUGUUGUUGUAGUAGUAGUUUCAGAGAGACAACAUUAGAAAUGAGUUCAGUAUAGUCUGGACCUUUAUGUAGAUGGUCUUAUCAGUUGGUUGAGGAAGACUGAUAUGGUUGAAUGCAGCAAACAUUUAUCUUAGCUUUCUCCUUGGCAAGGUGCUCCUUUCAUGUUUAAUUUUGGAGUACUGUAAGAAUAACUGAUAUUGUUAAUGAUGGACUACUUGGCCUUUUUGCUGA